rnacentral:RNase_P_RNA from 1 species
UGGGUGGAUUGGGCAGUCGCCUGGCAUUAGCUGGGAGGAAAGUCCGGACUCCGCAGGACAGGUUGCCCAUGUUAGGAGCAUGGGACUCUACCCUUGGGUAGAGAUGGAAAGUGCCGCAGAAAAGAUACCGCCUAUCUACGCUAUUUUCUGAUAUCUCAGAAAAUAGACUACGAUAGGCAAGCCCCAUUAUAAAAGGGCUUGCCCAUCGUAGCAUUGGCGUAGAUGGGUAAGGGUGAAAACGUGAGGUAAGAGCUCACGCUGGUGUCAGGUAACUGAUGCUGGGGGUAAACCCCAAUUGGAGCAAUUUCAAGCAGAAGAGCAUGGUGGUCCGCCAUUCAUUGCAAAAUGAAACUCUUCGGGUAGAAAGCUAGUAUCUCUAUGCAAAUGGAGAUCCAGAUCAAUGGCUGCCUCAUCCUCUUUUGAGGGUAAGACAAAAUCCGGCUUAUAGAUCCACCCAUUUA